UUUUUUCAAAACACGUGGGCUUCGCCUAGCGAGCAUGACAGCUCAUGAACAAACCUUUGCUCCUUCAAGAUUAACGUUUUGACCGACGAAUAGACCCCUGUUGGAAGUAACUCAAGUCUUUCCCUUGUGUUGACUGAUAAUCUAAAUAGAGCCCACAAAGUGUCCUGGAUGAUGUUCAAGCUUCUUGGAUCCGAUUCCGAUUGCCAUAAUGAAAUGCAAAUGCUAAAUGACCUAAAAAAUGAAUGCAUGCAUGAGGUGUAAAGCGUAUGCUUCCAGGAAAAAUGAAGGGUAAAUUUUGG
rnacentral:lncRNA from 1 species